rfam:Triticum aestivum genome assembly, contig: Triticum_aestivum_CS42_TGACv1_scaffold_340830_4BS
UUUGUACUCCCUCUGUCCCAAAAUUCUUGUCUUAAAUUUGUCUAAAUACGGAUGUAUCUAGUUACAUUUUAGUGUUAGAUACAUCCGUAUCUAAACAAAUGUAAGACAAGAAUUUUGGGACGGAGGGAAUACUAC